AUUUUUUAUGAUUUAGGAAGUUUAAUUUAAAUUUAUUUUACAUAUAAAUUUUAGUAUGAAUUUUUAAUUAUUUUAAUAAUUUUUAAAAAUUAAAUUAUAGUAAUUAAUAUUAAAAAUUUAAGAAAUUAAGAUUUAGUAAUAUUUAAAAUUAUUAACAAAUUUUGUGCCAGCAGUUGCGGUUAAACAAAAUAUAAUUUAAAUUUUAUUAGUAAAUAAUAAAUAUUAAUAUAAAUGAAAUUAAAUAUUAAUUUAUUAGGUGAAAUUUUAAUUUAAUUAAAAUUUUAUUUUGUAAUAUGAUUUAUUAAAUUUUAUAAAAAACUAGAAUUAGAUACUCUAUUACUAAAAAUUAAAUAAAUAAUACUAAAAUAGUAUGUAAUUAUUUAUAGAAACUUAAAUAAUUUGGCGGUAUUUUAGUUCAUUUAGAGGAAUCUGUUUAAUAAUUGAUAAUCCACGAAUAAAUUUACUUAAUUUAAAAAUUUUGUAUAUCGUUGUUAAAAAAAUAUUUUUUAAUAAAAAUAAUAUUUAAGAAUUUUUAUAAUAAAUUAAUUCAGAUCAAGAUGCUGAUUAUAAUUAAGAAUAUAAUGGAUUACAAUAAGAAAUGAUUAAAUGAAUAAUAUAUUUUAAUAUAUAUUUGAAGGUGGAUUUAAAUGUAAUUUUAUUUAAUUUAUUAAAAUGAUUAAAAAUUGAAAUAUGUACAUAUUGCCCGUCGCUUUCAUUAAUAAAUUGAAAUAAGUCGUAACAAAGUAGAUGUACUGGAAAGUGUUUCUAGAA
rnacentral:ncRNA from 1 species